rnacentral:lncRNA from 1 species
CCCCCAUAGUUUGUAGAGAAUUCAGCGAUGAGAUCUCGGUUGUGCAGUCUUUUGGACACUCCAACCCGACCAGAUUCGGAGUAGGGAACUUUAUUCAGCUUAUAAUACCAAAAGAACAAGCCCGCAAUAGAAGGAAUGUUUAAACUCCAACAGAUGUUGGACAAUCCUCGAAGAUAAACAUAAAAUGGCACAUGAGACUGUGACAGCGACACUCCAAUUUUAAGCAAUAUCUCGCUCUUCAAAGUAGGAAUGGGGAGCUCGUAAAAGGAGUAGAGUUGCUGAAGUGAGGUAGAUGGUAGGAGGAGAGAAAUGGAACAGUAGAAGUUCUGGAUAUUGGGUUGCUGCAACCCUAGAUCCGUUUUAGUUUUCAAAACCAAUUUCUUAAUUAAAUUCCAGAAUAACAAAUGUUUCCCUUUUAUAGGGUACAAUUAAUAGAACACACUAACUAAGUAGUUCCUUAGUGACAUUUUAACAAUUAAAUAGGUUCCACUCUUUACCCAAAUAAGCUAGUCUAAUUAAUAAUGAAAUCAUCCAGCCGUUUAUGUUUAAAACGAAUUCUGGCGGGCCUAUUUCCCAACGUCGAACCACUGUCUGCAACAGGGUUUUUCUCAGCGAUCUCCUCGGGCGAGCUCUGUUCCUCUAAGGUCAUCAGACGGCGACAGGAAUCUUCCAGUACUCCAGCACAGCUCCGGGCGACUCUAUCAACUCGCUAAAGUGCUUGAAGUACUGAUGAGACAUGUCUGAGUAUGUCAGCCACUCCCUGCAACGUCCUUCAAUAAGGACUAGGGUUCCAUCGCUAUAUGCCGGACCCCGGAAGGCUCCCACGGUGCUGAACAAAUGUCAUUAUCAAAUCGCUGAGUUAACUUGUAAAUCGUCGGUUGGGCUACCAAGUCGCCGACUUUAGUGGAUCCCCCCUUCCCACACCAUCAAUCGGUGAUUUUACGAGAUAAAUCGUUGAUUUAACAGUGGUGGACACGGGGAUCUCACCCAAUUUGAGUCCAGACUCAGCCCUAGCUUGAACCGCAGGAGCCUCUUCUGGAAUCGCCGAUUCUUGGAAAAAAUCACCGAUUUCUCGGGUGAGGGCUUGAGCAGUUCAUGCGGAAGGGCACGAGUAUUCGGGUCAGCAGGCAAGUCGGCCACCUGAGUCACCGAUUCCCGACCAAGAUGGGGUGAACCCUCAGCAGUCGGUGAUGGAAUCGGCGAUUCCUGGGUGGCGAGUUCCUCGACCAAACUAGCGCCAACAUCAAACUCGGCGAAUUCCCAGACAAGUCCCCGGCCUCUGAUUCAGUCAUUAUCGGCAUGAAACUCGGGGAAUUAGGUUUUGCCGGUGAGAAAAAAAUUGACGAUUUAAGAGGAAAUCGGCGAUUAGAAUUGCGAAUUCGGGAGAUAAGGUUUAGGCGAAUUUGGAG